GGUUUUUUCCUCGCGUAUUAAUUUACUCUGGUGUAAUACCAGAGUCUCAGUCUGGUGGAAAUUUGUGGCUCCUUACACUUGAUAGGCCCUCGUCUCAAAUGUACACAUUUCUAGAAGAGAAGAAGAUUGCAGCUCUCGUGCAUGGAAUACUCUGACAAUCAUAACAUCUAGAAUAUUGAGUGAGUGUAUCUCACAGACAGUAUGGCAAUCGGUUAUAACAUGGAUAUUGCUGCCAUUAAACUACCACCAUGGCAAACACGACUUGGCUGGAACAAGUUUUGCAUCCUAUGGAUACUACUACUGAUGUUUGGAGGAAUGUAUGUAGUUGCUAACGCCACUAGAGACAAUCAAAAACUGGCAGAGACAGACAAGAUGAUCCCAAGCCUAAGUCGCUGGAGUCAUCAGCACACAGAAUCAAUCAAUUUCGUAGAAGAAAGAUCUGAUCUCGACAGGAAAUCCCAUAAACAGCUAGGCACCAGCAAGCGAAAGGCCACAAACCACUUGACUCCUUGCAGAGCCAGUUCCAGGUGCAUAAACAUGACGAUAUCUCC